rnacentral:rRNA from 1 species
GGUUAAGCGACUAAGCGUACACGGUGGAUGCCCUGGCAGUCAGAGGCGAUGAAGGGCGUGCUAAUCUGCGAUAAGCGCCGGUAAGGUGAUAUGAACCGUUAUAACCGGCGAUACCCGAAUGGGGAAACCCAGUGUGAUUCGUCACACUAUCAUUAACUGAAUCCAUAGGUUAAUGAGGCGAACCGGGGGAACUGAAACAUCUAAGUACCCCGAGGAAAAGAAAUCAACCGAGAUUCCCCCAGUAGCGGCGAGCGAACGGGGAGGAGCCCAGAGCCUGAAUCAGCAUGUGUGUUAGUGGAAGCGUCUGGAAAGGCGCGCGAUACAGGGUGACAGCCCCGUACACAAAAGCGCAUGUGCUGUGAGCUCGAUGAGUAGGGCGGGACACGUGGUAUCCUGUCUGAAUAUGGGGGGACCAUCCUCCAAGGCUAAAUACUCCUGACUGACCGAUAGUGAACCAGUACCGUGAGGGAAAGGCGAAAAGAACCCCGGCGAGGGGAGUGAAAAAGAACCUGAAACCGUGUACGUACAAGCAGUGGGAGCCCCACCACUAAGCCAGUGGUGAACUCCACAUACGCAUCCUUUGCUGAAGGCAAUGGUUAACGGAGCGAAAGCGACGUUCAACCGCAAAACAAGCAGAGGGGGCUUAGUGGUGGGGUGACUGCGUACCUUUUGUAUAAUGGGUCAGCGACUUAUAUUCUGUAGCAAGGUUAACCGUAUAGGGGAGCCGGAGGGAAACCGAGUCUUAAUUGGGCGUUAAGUUGCAGGGUAUAGACCCGAAACCCGGUGAUCUAGCCAUGGGCAGGUUGAAGGUUGGGUAACACUAACUGGAGGACCGAACCGACUAAUGUUGAAAAAUUAGCGGAUGACCUGUGGCUGGGGGUGAAAGGCCAAUCAAACCGGGAGAUAGCUGGUUCUCCCCGAAAGCUAUUUAGGUAGCGCCUCGUGAAUUCAUCUCCGGGGGUAGAGCACUGUUUCGGCUAGGGGGCCAUCCCGGCUUACCAACCCGAUGCAAACUGCGAAUACCGGAGAAUGUUAUCACGGGAGACACACGGCGGGUGCUAACGUCCGUCGUGAAGAGGGAAACAACCCAGACCGCCAGCUAAGGUCCCAAAGUCAUGGUUAAGUGGGAAACGAUGUGGGAAGGCCCAGACAGCCAGGAUGUUGGCUUAGAAGCAGCCAUCAUUUAAAGAAAGCGUAAUAGCUCACUGGUCGAGUCGGCCUGCGCGGAAGAUGUAACGGGGCUAAACCAUGCACCGAAGCUGCGGCAGCGACACUCAGGUGUUGUUGGGUAGGGGAGCGUUCUGUAAGCCUGUGAAGGUGUGUCGUGAGGCAUGCUGGAGGUAUCAGAAGUGCGAAUGCUGACAUAAGUAACGAUAAAGCGGGUGAAAAGCCCGCUCGCCGGAAGACCAAGGGUUCCUGUCCAACGUUAAUCGGGGCAGGGUGAGUCGACCCCUAAGGCGAGGCCGAAAGGCGUAGUCGAUGGGAAACAGGUUAAUAUUCCUGUACUUGGUGUUACUGCGAAGGGGGGACGGAGAAGGCUAUGUUGGCCGGGCGACGGUUGUCCCGGUUUAAGCGUGUAGGUGUGUGUUCCAGGUAAAUCCGGUUCACUUUAACACUGAGGCGUGACGACGAGGCACUACGGUGCUGAAGCAACAAAUGCCCUGCUUCCAGGAAAAGCCUCUAAGCAUCAGGUAACAUCAAAUCGUACCCCAAACCGACACAGGUGGUCAGGUAGAGAAUACCAAGGCGCUUGAGAGAACUCGGGUGAAGGAACUAGGCAAAAUGGUGCCGUAACUUCGGGAGAAGGCACGCUGACACGUAGGUGAAGUGAUUUACUCAUGGAGCUGAAGUCAGUCGAAGAUACCAGCUGGCUGCAACUGUUUAUUAAAAACACAGCACUGUGCAAACACGAAAGUGGACGUAUACGGUGUGACGCCUGCCCGGUGCCGGAAGGUUAAUUGAUGGGGUCAGCGCAAGCGAAGCUCCUGAUCGAAGCCCCGGUAAACGGCGGCCGUAACUAUAACGGUCCUAAGGUAGCGAAAUUCCUUGUCGGGUAAGUUCCGACCUGCACGAAUGGCGUAAUGAUGGCCAGGCUGUCUCCACCCGAGACUCAGUGAAAUUGAACUCGCUGUGAAGAUGCAGUGUACCCGCGGCAAGACGGAAAGACCCCGUGAACCUUUACUAUAGCUUGACACUGAACAUUGAGCCUUGAUGUGUAGGAUAGGUGGGAGGCUUUGAAGCGUGGACGCCAGUCUGCGUGGAGCCGACCUUGAAAUACCACCCUUUAAUGUUUGAUGUUCUAACGUGGACCCGUAAUCCGGGUUGCGGACAGUGUCUGGUGGGUAGUUUGACUGGGGCGGUCUCCUCCUAAAGAGUAACGGAGGAGCACGAAGGUUGGCUAAUCCUGGUCGGACAUCAGGAGGUUAGUGCAAUGGCAUAAGCCAGCUUGACUGCGAGCGUGACGGCGCGAGCAGGUGCGAAAGCAGGUCAUAGUGAUCCGGUGGUUCUGAAUGGAAGGGCCAUCGCUCAACGGAUAAAAGGUACUCCGGGGAUAACAGGCUGAUACCGCCCAAGAGUUCAUAUCGACGGCGGUGUUUGGCACCUCGAUGUCGGCUCAUCACAUCCUGGGGCUGAAGUAGGUCCCAAGGGUAUGGCUGUUCGCCAUUUAAAGUGGUACGCGAGCUGGGUUUAGAACGUCGUGAGACAGUUCGGUCCCUAUCUGCCGUGGGCGCUGGAGAACUGAGGGGGGCUGCUCCUAGUACGAGAGGACCGGAGUGGACGCAUCACUGGUGUUCGGGUUGUCAUGCCAAUGGCACUGCCCGGUAGCUAAAUGCGGAAGAGAUAAGUGCUGAAAGCAUCUAAGCACGAAACUUGCCCCGAGAUGAGUUCUCCCUGAGACUUAGAGUCUCCUGAAGGAACGUUGAAGACGACGACGUUGAUAGGCCGGGUGUGUAAGCGCAGCGAUGCGUUGAGCUAACCGGUACUAAUGAACCGUGAGGCUUAACCUU